GUUACUAGAGGAGAUGAGAAGCUCUGUGCAGGGGAAUCCAGGAUGCUGGAAAGCUGGGGAAUUUAAUACAGAGCUGGCUCUGCUCCAUCCUGGAUCUUCUUUAUGUUCUUUGACAAUGUGCCAGAAACCCUGACAAUGAACCGCUGUCUCUGACUAAUUGUUCUAGUGGAGAUGUCUCCUGUUUGACUUGAUUUUAAACUGUGGAGCACGUCAAGAGAAAGCUCACUGAUCUGCCGAGGGUUUGUGCUUUUCUGUCUUCAUGCAUCUGUUGUGGGUGAAGAGAGCAAAGAUUCUUCAUUCAAUCAAAGGCCCCCUUUGGAGAUGCUGAGAAGGAAAUUUCCUUUGGAAAUUCCCAAAGGAAUUGGGCUGUCUCUCUCUCUUUCUCUGGUUGCAUUUCACCAGCUAAGGAGUUGCAUUGGCUUCUGCUCUCCUCUCUUGCUCACCUACAUUGUGAGGCAGAUGAGAGUGGAGUCUGUAAAUCACCCUCCAUGCAAUGGUUCAUCAUAAAGGAUAUGGAGCAAAAUUAGAGGAGGCACGAGAAGGAAAGCCGGUGAUGAACAAGGAAAGUGCCUGGUUGAAGCUAGCUUGCAAUCCCCA
rnacentral:lncRNA from 1 species